UACGGGGGGAGCAAGCGUUGUUCGGAUUUACUGGGCGUAAAGGGCGCGUAGGCGGCGCCGCAAGUCGACUGUGAAAUCUCCGGGCUUAACCCGGAAAGGUCAGCCGAUACUGCGGGGCUAGAGUGCAGAAGGGGCAACUGGAAUUCUCGGUGUAGCGGUGAAAUGCGUAGAUAUCGUCAAGAACACCUAUAGCGAAGGCAGCUUACUAGGCUGUAACUGACGCUGAGGCACGAAAGUGUGGGGAUCAAACAGG
rnacentral:rRNA from 1 species